rnacentral:rRNA from 1 species
AUUGAACGCUGGCGGCAGGCUUAACACAUGCAAGUCGAGCGGAGAGAGGUAGCUUGCUACCGAUCUUAGCGGCGGACGGGUGAGUAAUGCUUAGGAAUCUGCCUAUUAGUGGGGGACAACAUUUCGAAAGGAAUGCUAAUACCGCAUACGUCCUACGGGAGAAAGCAGGGGAUCUUCGGACCUCGCGCUAAUAGAUGAGCCUAAGUCGGAUUAGCUAGUUGGUGGGGUAAAGGCCUACCAAGGCGACGAUCUGUAGCGGGUCUGAGAGGAUGAUCCGCCACACUGGGACUGAGACACGGCCCAGACUCCUACGGGAGGCAGCAGUGGGGAAUAUUGGACAAUGGGCGCAAGCCUGAUUCAGCCAUGCCGCGUGUGUGAAGAAGGCCUUAUAGUCGUAAAGCACUUUAAGCGAGGAGGAGGCUACUUUAGUUAAUACCUAGAGAUAGUGGACGUUACUCGCAGAAUAAGCACCGGCUAACUCUGUGCCAGCCGCCGCAGUAAAAC